GACAGAGGAUACAAGCGUUAUCCGGAAUGAUUGGGCGUAAAGCGUCUGUAGGUGGCUUUUUAAGUCUGCCGUCAAAUCCCAGGGCUUAACCCUGGACAGGCGGCGGAAACUACCAAGCUGGAGUACGGUAGGGGCAGGGGGAAUUUCCGGUGGAGCGGUGAAAUGCGUAGAGAUCGGAAAGAACACCAACGGCGAAAGCACUCUGCUGGGCCGACACUGACACUGAGAGACGAAAGCUAGGGGAGCGAAUGGG
rnacentral:rRNA from 1 species